rnacentral:rRNA from 1 species
AACGAACGCUGGCGGCAGGCUUAACACAUGCAAGUCGAGCGCGCCCUUCGGGGUGAGCGGCGGACGGGUGAGUAACGCGUGGGAACGUGCCCUCUUCUGCGGAAUAGCCACUGGAAACGGUGAGUAAUACCGCAUACGCCCUUUUGGGGAAAGAUUUAUCGGAGGAGGAUCGGCCCGCGUUGGAUUAGGUAGUUGGUGGGGUAAUGGCCUACCAAGCCGACGAUCCAUAGCUGGUUUUAGAGGAUGAUCAGCCACACUGGGACUGAGACACGGCCCAGACUCCUACGGGAGGCAGCAGUGGGGAAUCUUAGACAAUGGGCGCAAGCCUGAUCUAGCCAUGCCGCGUGAGUGACGAAGGCCCUAGGGUCGUAAAGCUCUUUCGCCUGUGAUGAUAAUGACAGUAGCAGGUAAAGAAACCCCGGCUAACUCCGUGCCAGCAGCCGCGGUAAUACGGAGGGGGUUAGCGUUGUUCGGAAUUACUGGGCGUAAAGCGCGCGUAGGCGGAUUGGAAAGUUGGGGGUGAAAUCCCGGGGCUCAACCCCGGAACUGCCUCCAAAACUUCCAGUCUGGAGUUCGAGAGAGGUGAGUGGAAUUCCGAGUGUAGAGGUGAAAUUCGUAGAUAUUCGGAGGAACACCAGUGGCGAAGGCGGCUCACUGGCUCGAUACUGACGCUGAGGUGCGAAAGUGUGGGGAGCAAACA